GAGACUGAGUGAAGGACUUACACAGACAGAGUGAAGGACUUAAAGAAUGAGCAGAAAGACAUGGGCAGAAAAGGCGAGAGGGAUACUACGUGGAAAGAAAAUGCACGAUAAAGUGGGAUUAGAAAACAGAGGCAUACAAUUAUGAUAGACACAGAGGGAAAAUACAGUGAUGAGCAGAAGAAUAAAAACACUCAAACUGUUGCCUCAAGUUACGAGACUGUUUUCUUCCUG